rnacentral:rRNA from 1 species
AUUGAACGCUGGCGGCAUGCCUUACACAUGCAAGUCGAACGGCAGCACGGGUGCUUGCACCUGGUGGCGAGUGGCGAACGGGUGAGUAAUACAUCGGAACAUGUCCUGUAGUGGGGGAUAGCCCGGCGAAAGCCGGAUUAAUACCGCAUACGAUCUACGGAUGAAAGCGGGGGACCUUCGGGCCUCGCGCUAUAGGGUUGGCCGAUAGCUGAUUAGCUAGUUGGUGGGGUAAAGGCCUACCAAGGCGACGAUCAGUAGCUGGUCUGAGAGGACGACCAGCCACACUGGGACUGAGACACGGCCCAGACUCCUACGGGAGGCAGCAGUGGGGAAUUUUGGACAAUGGGCGAAAGCCUGAUCCAGCAAUGCCGCGUGUGUGAAGAAGGCCUUCGGGUUGUAAAGCACUUUUGUCCGGAAAGAAAUCCUUGGCUCUAAUACAGUCGGGGGAUGACGGUACCGGAAGAAUAAGCACCGGCGAACUACGU